GACGUAGGGCGCGAGCGUUGUCCGGAUUUAUUGGGCGUAAAGAGCUCGUAGGCGGCUUGUUGCGUCGACCGUGAAAACCCGCGGCUUAACUGCGGGCUUGCGGUCGAUACGGGCGGGCUGGAGUUCGGUAAGGGAGACUGGAAUUCCUGGUGUAGCGGUGAAAUGCGCAGAUAUCAGGAAGAACACCAAUGGCGAAGGCAGCUCUCUGGGACGGUACUGACGCUGAGACGCGA
rnacentral:rRNA from 1 species